rnacentral:rRNA from 1 species
GAUGAACGCUGGCGGCGUGCCUAAUACAUGCAAGUCGAGCGAACGGACGAGAAGCUUGCUUCUCUGAUGUUAGCGGCGGACGGGUGAGUAACACGUGGAUAACCUACCUAUAAGACUGGGAUAACUUCGGGAAACCGGAGCUAAUACCGGAUAAUAUUUUGAACCGCAUGGUUCAAAAGUGAAAGACGGUCUUGCUGUCACUUAUAGAUGGAUCCGCGCUGCAUUAGCUAGUUGGUAAGUUAACGGCUUACCAAGGCAACGAUGCAUAGCCAACCUGAGAGACUGAUAGGCAACACUGGAACUGAGACACGGUCCAGACUCCUACGGGAGGCAGCAGUAGGGAAUCUUCCGCAAUGAGCGAAAGCCUGACGGAGCAACGCCACGUGAGUGAUGAAGGUCUUCGGAUCGUAAAACUCUGUUAUUAGGGAAGAACAUAUGUGUAAGUAACUGUGCACAUCUUGACGGUACCUAAUCAGAAAGCCACGGCUAACUACGUG